GGCCCAAUGGUCUAGUAGUAUGAUUCGCGCUUCGGGUCUCCUGAGCUUGCGCGAGGUCCCGGGUUCAAUUCCCGGUUGGGCCC